UACACACCGCCCGUCACACCACGAGAGUUUGCAACACCCGAAGUCAGUGGGGUAACCUUUAUGGAGCCAGCUGCCUAAGGUGGGGUAGAUGAUUGGGGUG
rnacentral:rRNA from 1 species